UAGAAAAUUUCGAUAUCAUAUUUUUAAGUUCAAAACAGUAAAAAGGAUCUGUUCCACAUAGGUAGACUCGACUCUAUGAGCUUCUAACAUCUGAGCACUCAAUUCACGGGGCCUUACACAAGGUCGAUGGCGCAUCCAAUGCAUCAGGAUCUGGAUUAACCUCGUACUCGAGGUCCCAACAGGAGAAGUCAUCUACCAAUUCAUACAGUGCCCUUAUAUGACUAACAAUGAGGCCAAGUACGAGGCCAUAAUUGUAGGACUAAAUCUAUCUCUCAAAUACGGAGCAGGAAGAGUCGUCCUCAGAAGCAACUCAUAACUCGUUGUCAACCAAGUCACCGGGACUUUCCAAAUCAAAGA
rnacentral:lncRNA from 1 species